rnacentral:rRNA from 1 species
GUCCACGCCGUAAACGAUGAGUGCUAAGUGUUGGAGGGUUUCCGCCCUUCAGUGCUGCAGCAAACGCAUUAAGCACUCCGCCUGGGGAGUACGACCGCAAGGUUGAAACUCAAAGGAAUUGACGGGGGCCCGCACAAGCGGUGGAGCAUGUGGUUUAAUUCGAAGCAACGCGAAGAACCUUACCAGGUCUUGACAUCCUUUGACCACUCUAGAGAUAGAGCUUUCCCUUGGGGACAAAGUGACAGGUGGUGCAUGGUUGUCGU